rnacentral:rRNA from 1 species
CGCCGCGUGGGGGAAGAAGGCUUUCGGGUUGUAAACCCCUUUCAGUUUGGGACUGGAAGCCUCAGUCCCGUUAAUCAUAGCGGCGGCGAGGUGACGGUACCUUCACAAGAAGCCCCGGCUAACUUCGUGCCAGCAGCCGCGGUAAGACGAAGGGGGCUAGCGUUGUUCGGAAUUACUGGGCGUAAAGCGUGUGUAGGUGGUUGCCAUAGUCAGGUGUGAAAGCCUUGAGCUCAACUCAAGAAAUGCACUUGAUACUGGGCAACUAGAGGACCGGAGAGGAUAGUGGAAUUCCCAGUGUAGUGGUGAAAUACGUUAGAGAUUGGGAAGAACACCAGUGGCGAAGGCGGCUAUCUGGACGGUUUUCUGACACUAAGACACGAAAGCGUGGGGAGCAAACA